rnacentral:piRNA from 1 species
UGAUAGUAAGGGUGAAUUGCAGAAGAGA